UACGUAGGCGGCGCGGUAAGUCGGGUGUGAAAUCUUGGAGCUUAACUCCGAAACUGCAUUCGAUACUGCCGUGCUUGAGGACUGGAGAGGAGACUGGAAUUUACGGUGUAGCGGUGAAAUGCGUAGAUAUCGUAAGGAAGACCAGUGGCGAAGGCGGGUCUCUGGACAGUUCCUGACGCUGAGGCACGAAGGCCAGGGGAGCAAACGGG
rnacentral:rRNA from 1 species